UUUCAAUAUCCUAGUUUAUUUCAAAGUUAUUUUCGAGAUGAUUUUUCUGUUUGUUAAUUCCAAUCCAGAAUCCAGUCUUUUUAUUCUUACACUCUAGAAUAAUAUCCCACAUUUAAAAUCUGUUUUUCUUACUUUUUUCCAGUCCAGGUAGGUGGUAUCCUGGCAUGUCUCAAAAUAUGAAUGCACCUGUUUCCUCUUGAAUAUAUUCAUGUUAUUAAGUACUUGGAAGUUUUCUCUACAACCUUUCCUUCAGUGCUAUAUCACUUACAUAAUAUCGUUUCUUCAUGUACCUUAUUCUUAACAUGAAUUUAUUUUGCCAGCAUCUGAAGUUUUAAACCUAUCCUUUAUGCCAUUGGUGAUAAUAGUUCCUGCUGUUGGCUGUGUGGCACAGAGUGCCUCUUACCACACAAUGCUUGUAUAAUGCUUUAUUUAUGUGUGUGUGUGUUUGUGUUCCUGCCUAUGUGCACAAUUCAUGCAGUUCCAACAGAGGCCACAAAAAGGCAUCAGAUUCCCUGGAGCUAGACUCACAGAAGGUUGCAAGUCACCCAUUGCAAACUGGAAAUUGGACUCUGGUUCUCUAUAAACCCCAUCUUUCAUCCAUUCUAUGAGUAACUGUGAAUUCAAGAUUCUGCGUGCCUUUGGGGCUUAGGAAACUGGUAUUUUUUAUAAUAAUAUGAACAUCAACAUUCUACAACUAUGGGGUGACCAUGGAAGGAAACCUUUGCUUGGGCUAUAAAGAAUGCUGCUUAUGGGUGCCUGGAUUCUAUGGCCUUCAUGUUUAUUCUACCUGUUGCUGACCUCUAACAUCGUGAUAAUGGAUCCCAACUAACAGCUCUCCUGAGUGCAGCCCAAAGAAGAGAGGGUCCUAUAUGGGUGGUAGUCUCAGGCAGAAGCCAGUGGCAUUCAAACAAGAAUGCAUAUCAGAAGGAUUCCCUUGGGGGAUUUGGUGACCUCCAGUGUGUCAUCUAACUCUGAGGAAGAAACCCUUUGGGAAUGUAAUUAGACUGUUUCCAGGUCAGUCAGCAGGUGAUUAGGUCCAGAGUGAGGCUCCCUCAGAACUGAAACCUUUGUUGUCUCUUGUGGUUCUGUUUGGUUUUUGAAUGGCCAGUGCUAAGGAGGAAGAAGAUGCAUAGUCCAGGUCAACAUGGACUCUGGGUAUGCAAGGGGAGCUUCAAACACAGGGUAGACAUGGGAAAUCCUGGUUCAAGACCUAUCAUAUCUGGAGAAUAUUCUGUGAAUGAGUUAAGGUUAUGUUUCAUUAAAAUCUUCCAUCACCCACCUCGUAGCAUCUGGAAGCCUCUAGGGAGCUGGGGCUUCUGCCUUUGCUUUGACUUUCGGGUGUACUAGAACUUUCUGAACUUCAUUUGCAUGAUAUCACAGGUGGAAUCAGAACCAAAGGGGGCAGAGGGCAUGAAGGGAAAGUAAGUUUUACCUUAGCAUAUUUAUUCAUGAAGUCCCUAAACUGGAACAUGCUUCUUUAUCUCCUGGGUAGGAGGCAUUGGU
rnacentral:lncRNA from 1 species